rnacentral:lncRNA from 1 species
GCAGAACAGUCCUCCCUGUAAGAGCCUAACCAUUGCCAGGGAAACCUGCCCUGGGCGCUCCCUUCAUUAGCAGUAUUUUUUUUAAAUUAAUCUGAUUAAUAAUUAUUUUUCCCCCAUUUAAUUUUUUUUCCUCCCAGGUGGAGUUGCCGAAGCUGGGGGCAGCUGGGGAGGGUGGGGAUGGGAGGGGAGAGACAGAAGUUGAGGGCAUCUCUCUCUUCCUUCCCGACCCUCUGGCCCCCAAGGGGCAGGAGGAAUGCAGGAGCAGGAGUUGAGCUUGGGAGCUGCAGAUGCCUCCGCCCCUCCUCUCUCCCAGGCUCUUCCUCCUGCCCCCUUCUUGCAACUCUCCUUAAUUUUGUUUGGCUUUUGGAUGAUUAUAAUUAUUUUUAUUUUUGAAUUUAUAUAAAGUAUAUGUGUGUGUGUGUGGAGCUGAGACAGGCUCGGCAGCGGCACAGAAUGAGGGAAGACGAGAAAGAGAGUGGGAGAGAGAGAGGCAGAGAGGGAGAGAGGGAGAGUGACAGCAGCGCUCGGUAAGUGUUUCCUUAUUGGUUCAAAUAUGUAACUAAUGGUCCGUGGCGGUUUCAAGAAUAGGACAGCAGCGGCUUCUCUUGGUUAGGGAGAAGAGGGGGCUGGCGAGAGGGUGGGCGCGUAGUUAAUUAUGGGGAGGAAAAUUGGCGGGGGGAGAGAAACGGGGUUAAACUGGAAUACCGGUAACUGGUAGUGGGGCGAUUGUGUUGUCCUGAUGUCACUGUGUGCCAAGUUGGGGGUGGGGAGGCAAGGGAACAGCACCUGUGGGGCUCAAGCCGGCGGUCUAGGGCGCCAGCUCUCUGCUGCCCACUGUGUCAGUACCUGCUUAUUAUAGAUCUUCGGUCUCUUGGCUAAUGGAACUGGGUCGGAGCGGAACUGGAAGCUCAAGCUCCAGGCAGGAGAGAGAACUUAGAGGCUGUGCCCAUUGCCCCCUAAGCAAAGUUAGCCCCCCAACCCCCAAACAAACUUUCCAGCUUCCCCUCCCUGUCUGGCAGCCCCCUCCCUCCCAGAGAGCGCGACUGCUAGAGCUCACACAUGCGCAGUGUGGGCCCAGGGCCGGGCCGCCGAGCAGGAAGCCGGCGCAGCUAGGCGGCCGGCGGGGCCUGUUAAUUGGCAAUUAGGGGGGAGGCUGGUGGCUGGUGCGCGUCAGCCGAGAGGAGAGCGUCUGCCCACCCCCUGCUCCCGCCCCCACUCGGGCGGAUGGAAGGGUGGGAGGUGCCCUGCGUUGGGUGGAGGGUGGAGGUUGUAGGGUGGGGGUGGGGGAUGCUGUACUCAAAAGCCAUCUUGUGCUCAGAGAAAAGAGGCCUACCGGCUUUCCCUUCCGGGGUCCGGCGCCCCUCACCCCCAGCCGCGGCCAUCCCAGCCGGGAUGCCCACUGGACCGGGAUGCCCGCUCGCCACGCAUGGCUGCUCUGGGCUAGGACCUGCCUCGCCUCGGGGGGAGGUGGAAAUGGGGAAGGCCCUAGGCUGGGCGGGGACAGGCCCAGUCCUCCUGGUAGAGUCUCCUAGGUGCUGUGGAGGCAGUGAGGAUUCCGGGGGCUGCUGGCUUAUGGGGUAGAGGCGUCAGCCUGGGGCGGCGGGAGGGUCCUGGGCACUCGGGAUCUCUCUAAUAAUUGGUGCUAAUGGCCUGUUGUAUAGUCUUAACCCGACGCAUAUGGUUUCAUAACACAGUGGCUUAAUUUCUUCCAAAUGUACGUGGCCCUGAAUGUGUUGCAGUUUGAUAUAUGACCCCGCCCUGCUCCCCGGCCUGGGUCCGAGGCUCCGAGGCGGCCCCAUAAGUGUGAAUUUCUGUUUAUAAACGGCGACGCACACGCAAACGCCUACACACCCAGGCAGACACACCCGGAGGCGUGGGGGAACAUAUUCCAGACGAGGUCCGAGAGAACCUGGGGGCCAGACUUACCUUAAUCUAAGCCAAGACACCCCCUCUACCCCCACCCUCCCCUUCCCUUCCUUUUCUG